rnacentral:rRNA from 1 species
UAGGGAAUCUUCCACAAUGGACGAAAGCCUGAUGGAGCAACGCCGCGUGAGUGAAGAAGGGUUUCGGCUCGUAAAACUCUGUUGUUAAAGAAGAACAUAUCUGAGAGUAACUGUUCAGGUAUUGACGGUAUUUAACCAGAAAGCCACGGCUAACUACGUGCCGG